rnacentral:rRNA from 1 species
AAUAGAUACCCGGGUAGUCCACGCCGUAAACGAUGAGUGCUAAGUGUUAGAGGGUUUCCGCCCUUUAGUGCUGCAGCUAACGCAUUAAGCACUCCGCCUGGGGAGUACGGUCGCAAGACUGAAACUCAAAGGAAUUGACGGGGGGCCCGCACAAGCGGUGGAGCAUGUGGUUUAAUUCGAAGCAACGCGAAGAACCUUACCAGGUCUUGACAUCCUCUGACAACUCUAGAGAUAGAGCGUUCCCCUUCGGGGGACAGAGUGACAGGUGGUGCAUGGUUGUCGUCAGCUCGUGUCGUGAGAUGUUGGGUUAAGUCCCGCAACGAGCGCAACCCUUGAUCUUAGUUGCCAGCAUUCAGUUGGGCACUCUAAGGUGACUGCCGGUGACAAACCGGAGGAAGGUGGGGAUGGACGUCAAAUCAUCAUGCCCCUUAUGACCUGGGCUACACACGUGCUACAAUGGAUGGUACAAAGGGCUGCAAGACCGCGAGGUCAAGCCAAUCCCAAUAAAACCAUUCUCAGUUCGGAUUGUAGG